rnacentral:rRNA from 1 species
UACAGAGGGGGCGAGCGUUGUUCGGAAUUACUGGGCGUAAAGGGCGCGUAGGCGGCCCGCUAAGUCGAACGUGAAAUCCCCAGGCUCAACCUGGGAACUGCGUCCGAUACUGGCAGGCUUGAAUCCGGGAGAGGGAUGUGGAAUUCCAGGUGUAGCGGUGAAAUGCGUAGAUAUCGUUUGGAACGCCAAAGGUGAAAACAGGUUGCUGGGAGUGUGCUGACGCUGAGACACGAAAGCCAGGGGAGCGAACAGG